rnacentral:rRNA from 1 species
AGCAGUGCCACGGGAAUACGGAGGGUGCAAGCGUUAAUCGGAAUUACUGGGCGUAAAGCGCACGCAGGCGGUCUGUCAAGUCAGAUGUGAAAUCCCCGGGCUUAACCUGGGAACUGCAUUUGAAACUGGCAGGCUAGAGUCUUGUAGAGGGGGGUAGAAUUCCAGGUGUAGCGGUGAAAUGCGUAGAGAUCUGGAGGAAUACCGGUGGCGAAGGCGGCCCCCUGGACAAAGACUGACGCUCAGGUGCGAAAGCGUGGGGAGCAAACAGGAUUAGAUACCCGGGUAGUCCCUGUCUCUUAUACA